UCCCUAGACGCUUAGAAAUAUUGUGAAGGACUGGUUAAUGAUCAGAGAUUCAGAGACCAGUUUAGGCAUGAAUGGGGUGGAAUAUAGACACGUGUUUAGAGAAGCUAAUUUAGCCGCAGACUGGAUUGCUGGUGAGGCUAAUUCGGUUGGUAAUGGUUAUAUUUCUCUUAACCUCUGUAAUCUCCCUUGGGACCUCGACUUAAUUUGUUAGAGUGAUUUGUGGGGUUGUGCUACCCCAGUCUAGUCUAGUGUAGCAACUCCUUGUUAUGAAAAAGAUUUAAAAAAAAAAAAAACUGGUUCUCCACAUUUAUCGAGUCGGAACCAGAUCUACUACCCUGACCUGGACCAAAGCCAACCAAUUAAAAGUUUAAAACACUUAUCCCUGGAACUAAGGGCGAACAUGCCUAACCUGGCCCAUGCCGCCCCAUGAUCACCCCUACCUGAAACAUUUAUCGGCUGUCCCAUACGCUUCUAACUUUUUAUGCAGCAAAAAAUUGUGCAUUUUUUAUCUCAAAGAACUCUCACGACUGUCUCUGACGGACUCUUCUGAGAACGAAUCCUCAAAACACUCGUCAAAAGCAGAGUUUACGAUCUACCGGCUUGUCAGGGCAAAGAAAUUAUCACCGGUUGACGAUAUAAUCGAGCACCAGAACAAGUAAAACGACAUAUCGAAUAAGGAUAUGUGAUCUGAUACGUUUCUCUCUAUCGCCAAUCGGGUAUGUUUGAACGUGCCUGCAGACAGUUCGAUCAAAUGCGCGAGUUAAAAUGCACCCGCACGCUGAAAUCCUUGGUGCCUUCUCCAUAUCGACUUGCACCGAUUUCAACAAGGUCUAUAAACUUGGUUAGAUUUUCCGUGAAUUUAUCGGAUUCUCCAGAUAGUACAGUAUUAUGAUCUGGGCUUUCUGUGACAUGAGUUUAUCGGAUUCUGCGCUUUCCUUUAUUAGUAAGAUGGAAAGGGAUGAUUUGGGUAGAAUGGUAUAGAUUUUUUGCGUCCCAGAUGUCAAGCCGCGGGGCAUGUUUCUUGCGUUAGAGGCGGUUAAGUUAGUUGUGGAAUUGGAUACGAAAGGAAUGAAAAGUGAUAUAUUUGGCUUUAAUGCUUUGAUUAAAGGGUUUUUCAAUGCUGCAAAUUUAGAAGCAGCGAAGUGACUUUACUGUGAAUUGCAGAAAAUUAAUUCCGAGUAGACAGAAUUUUGAGGCACUUGUCCCUUUUCUCUGUGAGCAGGGAGAUUUUGAUCUGGCCCUUGAGCUCUGCGAAUAAAGUCUAAGUUGAUGACAUAUGAAUGCUGAUCUCCUGUAAGCAGUGGUGGAUGGGCUGGUCAAGGAGUCAAAACUAUAGGAACAAAAGAAGCUUCUGAAGCUAGGCGGUCGAAAAGUUUCCCCACUCUGGCCUACAAGUGCCUUUGUGAUGCGCAUCGAUAAUUUUCUUUGGUGCAUAUUAUGAUAUUCCCCAUCUGAUGCAUGUGCACUGAAUAAUUGGUUCAGUGUGGCCAUAUGUAAGAACAAGUGGCCGAGAAUGGAACAUCUCCCUGGAGCUUGAAGUCCUGUGUCAUAACCUUGGAGUGAGAACCCAUGAGGCUCAUUGAAAGU